rnacentral:rRNA from 1 species
GAGUUUGAUCGUGGCUCAGAAUCAACGCUGGCGGCGCGCUUAACACAUGCAAGUCGAACGAGAAAGUCCGCAAGGAUGAGUACAGUGGCGUACGGGUGAGUAACACGUGGGUCAUCUACCUCUGGGUGGGGAAUAACCCUGGGAAACCGGGGCUAAUACCGCAUAAUACUGUGAGGUUAAAGGCGCAAGUCGCCUGGAGAGGAGCCCGCGGCUGAUUAGCUAGUUGGUAGGGUAAAGGCCUACCAAGGCGGAGAUCGGUAGCCGGCCUGAGAGGGCACACGGCCACACUGGCACUGAAACACGGGCCAGACUCCUACGGGAGGCAGCAGUGGGGAAUCUUGCACAAUGGGGGCAACCCUGAUGCAGCGACGCCGCGUGAGCGAUGAAGCCCUUCGGGGUGUAAAGCUCUUUUCGGCAGGAACGAUGAUGACGGUACCUGAAGAAGAAGCUGCGGCUAACUACGUGCCAGCAGCCGCCGCGGU